UUGAACGCUGGCGGAAUGCUUUACACCUGCCAGUCGAGCGGCAGCGCGGCCUUCGGGCUGGCGGCGAGCGGCGAACGGGUGAGUAAUGCAUCGGAACAUGCCCAGUCGUGGGGGAUAACACUUCGAAAGAAGUGCUAAUACCGCAUACGUCCUGAGGGGAAAAGCGGGGGAUCGCAAGACCUCGCGCGUUUGGAGUGGCCGAUGUCAGAUUAGCUAGUUGGUGGGGUAAAGGCCUACCAAGGCGACGAUCUGUAGCUGGUCUGAGAGGAUGAUCAGCCACACUGGGACUGAGACACGGCCCAGACUCCUACGGGAGGCAGCAGUGGGGAAUUUUGGACAAUGGGGGCAACCCUGAUCCAGCCAUUCCGCGUGAGUGAAGAAGGCCUUCGGGUUGUAAAGCUCUUUCGGCAGGAACGAAACGGUGGGCUCUAACAUAGUCCGCUAAUGACGGUACCUGAAGAAGAAGCACCGGCUAACUACGUG
rnacentral:rRNA from 1 species